ensembl:lncRNA
ACAAAAGAAGGAUGUCGUCAAUAAGAACAAACAACACCAGGGGCAACAGAGAAGCUUUUUUGCAAACUUUCCCCUCCCUCCGCCCACCAAAGUUUAGCCACUGACAUCAAUUUCAGCACAAUCGCUCAAGAUACAAUCAAGGUGGAGGUUUAUGAAAUGUUACGAAGAGGAGCGGAAAAGCACAGCUGUGCUAUUUUCCCCCCUGACAUGUAAACUGCUGAUUAAUAUCCACAGUAGAGUUUUUUCCAUAAUUCUUUGAUUCUUCAAAAGCAAAGCUAUUAGAGUUAAGGCUUUUUGCCCCGGCCCCCUACAAAAGCAAGGAGGGGGGAGGAGAGGGUGAAAAUGAGGGAGAGUAAGAGAAAAAAGAAAAAAUUUGAUACAGAUAAAAGAAAUUAAGUGAGCCAUAAAGUCUGCACUUUAUUUUAACAGGGUUGCACCGUCCUGCUGUGCUGCCCAUAAUCCAGCUGGGAGAAGGACCCCCGCUGGGUGGCUAAUUAAAACAAUUACAAAUACAAAGAAGGUAUCAAUGGCAUUCCAGGACUCAAACAAAGAGAGAAAGCAUUGAAGAUUUAAGUUGUCAAUGGCCAAUCUCUCUUUAGGCGGUUCUGAAGAUGAGUCAGUGUCCCCAAGACUCCUCGACUCCUUUCUACACUGACUUAGGUUUGGUUAUGUGGGAACCUCCCUUCUGUUGGGUUUAUAGACAUCAAAAUAUGUCAGUGAUGGAACUAAUUUAUAGGCUUGAAAAGACUUCAUUGUCCUAGCAGGUCGGGCUAGUGGAUCUGAGUUUAAAAAUAAAAUCCUAGAUGGCAAAAGGGCCCCAGACCCUCCUUUUGAAAUCGCUACUUUCAAAAACAAGAAAACAGAAAAGACCUUGAGAACUUUUUUGCCCCAAUUCCAAGUGACAAAAUGAAAGUCAAUUUAAAAUGAGAUGAGACAGUUUUUUAAAAGGACUGUGGGCAAUUUUAGGAAUGUUAAAAAUGUAGCCAGUGUGCUAGAAUACCCCUUCAAGGUAUUUUUAAAGGGUGAUUUGCAGAAUUAAACCCAUUACCCAACAACAAUGGAAAUCUUUCUUAAUUUCCUAGACCAAACAAUUUUUUGUUUCCUUUCUGUCUUUUGCAGGUUGAACCCUUAAAGGAACACUCAGAAGUAUAAUAAGCUGGAGUUGCAUAAAUGAGUUCUCUGAUUAUGGUAAAGAUUCUGAAAAGGUGUGAAGCUGAAAGCUGCAGGCGAGACUCUACCUAGGAAAACGUCAGGCGACUUCGAGUAGGGUACAGCGCAGGACGAAGUGUGUGUCCAACGUGGACUAAAAUGUGGGAAGAGAUUCCUUUAUUAAAAAGCAGUCUACCUUCCUGGAAACAAUCCAUCACACUCCCUACGGAAGAGGAUCACACGCCCUGCGACUUCUCAACCUCUACGUGCUGAGAGACAGUCCAGGUUAAGGAACCUCUCAGGACUGCAGUCUGAAUGAGCAGAACCGAUGGCAAACGUUUCCAGUGCUUCCCCUGCUCGCAUCCUCCCUGCACCGUGGAGCAGCGUCUGUCUGAUGUUGGCAGCAGCACAAGGACAAAUCAAGACACUCAGAAGCAAAUGCUUUUGUUUUGCAGACAUAGGACCAGAGAUGCGGGGAAGUGUUACCCUGGGGCCUGAACAGCAUCAGGCGUGACAGCAGAUGUUUAGUGCCAUGGGUUGCACAGUGCCGCUGUUGAGUACCAGAUACUGAGGGGAUCUGCCUGUGACUUUUAAUAAAUAGUGUGUGUGUGCUGUCUAUUCAGAACCACUAAAGGGAGGAGUCCAGGGCAAGGGUUCCUCUUGCCCAAAUCUAAAGGCUCCAUUAGACAACCAACCAAGCACUCAAGCAGGAAGAUGAAGACUGCUGGCACCACAUGGCAGAUCAGAGACACGACAGGGAGUGGCAGAGAGGCGGUGACCUGGGGAGCCCACGCCUGUCUGAAGAGAACUGUCUAUAUUCUGCCCUUACCCACAUACUGACUUGUAGGAAAGUCGAAGUCACGUUGCUGGACUGUCUGAUUUCUCAGGAGAAUGCCACAUUUCGGGUUUUUAUGUGAAAAAAAUUGAUAUCGACAAAUAAUCCAAAUUAAUAAACUUAAAAAGUACAUUUGAGGGGAUCACAUCUUUAGGCUAGAUUUGUUCCCAAAGCCACCACGAACACUUUUCUGGGCUACUGCAUUUUACUACUUUGUGCUUACUUUUGAAGCAUUUACGAUCGCUAAUUCCUCAUUUUGGAUAAAUACUAAAGCAAUGACAGGGUGAGAAUCAUGGAAGAAGAAGAGGCAUAUGAUUAGGUUAGAAAAGAAAGUGCAGGUUAGGUUUACACCGAUGUGUAUGCAAGGGUUACACAUAUUCUGUCACUUUGUCUUUGCAGGAUGUGGACUCAGCGACAUCCUGUCUGUAAGCAGAGAAGCCUCCACACGUGGACAUGUGAGGCUGUCUUUGGCUCUGCUGCUCAGUUCAGAUAAUUUUCGAGAGAUCUCCAUUGUACUUCAACUUAUUUUUCAGUAAUAGGAGAGUGAGUGGUGAAAAAUGUGAGAUUAGAUUGUGAAAGAAUGAAGUUAGAGAUCCCAGGGGAGUAUCUCUAGAGAUGUGAAGAUUCGGGACAUGGGGUUACCUCCUGUGCUUCUCAAAGGGCAAGCAGAAGAUAUCUGGCACGGGAAUGGGGAGGGAGCAAGAACAGGGGAGGAUAGCAAGUAUGUUUCAGGCAUUUCGGAGCCCAAGCAAGAUGCCCAGUGGAGUGGUUAAGAGGUCAGACCGUCCCAAGUUCAAGACCCAGGACUAAAUUUACAAGCUGCAAAAAGUUGCUUUUCCCUCUGAGCUUGUUUCAUCAUUUGUUAAGAAGGUGAUAAUGAUGAUUUACCUCAAAGGGCUGCUGUGAGCAGUAAAUGAGCUAAUCAAAGCCAAGCUCUAGUGCACAUUCCUCAGGAAGUACUCAAUAAAUGCCGGUGAUUAUUAGUAGGACAAUGAUUGGGAUUAGUGGGGUGAAUUCGGGAAUCAUCUGCAGAAAGGUGGACAGUUGAAAUCUGAAGAGAGCACCUUGGAAGGGGGGCAUAUAUAUUGGGGAGCACAUCUAUUUGAGGGAGUAAGGAAAAAAAAUGGAAGCCUGAAAGGGGUCAGAGAAGGAACAGUCAGGUAGCAGAAAUGCCAAGACAGGGUUUAGGGAAGGCCCCUGUAUGAAAAUAAAAUAGAGACUUUAUUUUCAGAAUAGUGCUGAGCAUGAAAAUGAUUUAGAAUGGUGCCUUAUAAACUUUAGAGUACCAAAGAAUCACCUGGGAGAGUGUAAAUGUUUAAAAUGUAGAUUCCCAGAAAGCCUGACUCAGUAGGUCUGGGCUCAGGCCCAGGAAUCUAUAUGGAUUCCAACUGCAGAUAGACAACAAACCACACUUGGAAGAACACUGUGUUAAGACUGAGUGUGCAGCCAGGGAGAGGAGACAGAGUGGCUACCAUCCUUUCAAGGUAGUUGGUUAGGGCAUACAUGUGUCUUAGCCUCCACUACCCAUGCAUUAAAGAAAGUCUUUCCAGAGAAAAGUCUUUGAGAGAACACAGGUUGCUUUCAAUAGGUUGCUUGGUGAGUAAAGGGAGGGGUGGUGGUUGGUGGUGUUUAUUUCUCCUGCAUAUAUAUAAUGGCCAAGGGGUCUUAACCAUCUGUGGCCCUGGGUUUGGAAGGGUGAAUUAAAUUGGUUGAUUUUCAAGUAUCAAACCAACCUUGCAUUCCUGGAAUAAUCCAACUUCGGUCAUGAUGGAUGGUGGGAAAGAGACACAUUGCUCAGACCUCAAUCUCAGGCUCUGGGCUCCCUUUCCUCUCUCUAGCCUUCUAGCAGACACGACCUAUCCAAACAACACAACAGCUCCCUGAGACUUGGAAAUAAACACCAGGUCUUCUAGAACAGUGAACUUCAAAAUACUUUUUACUUAUACCCUCUAAGAUAUUUUUUAAAAAGUAUAUAUACUCCCUUACAUGUUUUAAAGUUGAUAUCUCAAAUGUUUCACAUAUUAACUGCUUAAAAGGAUUCUGGGGCAUUGUAAUUAUUUGUUAUAUCAUUUAAAAAAUAUAUUCAAUAGGCCAGCCCGGUGGCAUAGCGGUUAAGUGUGCACGUUCCACUACGGCAGCCCGGGGUUCACCAGUUUGGAUCCUGGGGUCAGACACGGCACCACUUGGCACACCCUGCUGUGGCAGGCGUCCCACAUAUAAAGUAGAGGAAGAUGGGCAUGGAUGUUAGCUCAGGGCCAGUCUUCCUCAGCAAAAAGAGGAGGAUUGGCAGCAGUUAGCUCAGGGCUAAUCUUCCUCAAAAAAAAAAAAAAAAUUUCAAAGUAAUCCAAAUAUCAUGCAUCCUUGAUCUCUACCAUCAUCUAUUUAAAUAAUACAUGAACAAGCUGUUCUUUAAAAGUUGAAAUUUUACAUCAUUAUUUAAGGAGUUUUCCUCUUUAAAUUUGUACUUCCAUUCCACUUCCCCAUUAAAUUUUCUAUUAAUGUAAUAAUUUUUUGGCUUAGAAGUCUUGUAUUGAUCACCCUAUUUUUUUUUUUUUUUAAAGAUUUUUUAUUUUUUCCUUUUUCUCCCCAAAGACCCCCGGUACAUAGUUGUAUAUUCUUUGUUGUGGGUUCUUCUAGUUGUGGUAUGUGGGACGCUGCCUCAGCGUGGUUUGAUGAGCAGUGCCAUGUCCGCGCCCAGGAUUCGAACCAAUGAAACACUGGGCCGCCUGCAGCGGAGCGCGCGAACUUAACCACUCGGCCACGGGGCCAGCCCCUUGAUCACCCUAUUAAACCUCUUGGCAGAAAAAUUUAUAUAUAUUUAAUAAAAAACCUUUUUAACUUCCUUUGAUCAGAAUUGAGUUACUACUAUAAUGAUUAUUUUUAUGUAAUUGAUGAAAACAAGGUGAAUGUAUUACAAAAUCAGAACUAACAGAAGGUUGAUAAUUGUUGAAGCUGGGUCAUGGGUGCAGAAAGGAUCAUGACGAUUCUCACUCCACUCUAUGUUUGAAAUUUUCCAUUAAAAAAAAGUUUAGAAACCUCUUGAAGAAAUAAAUGUGCUAUAAAUUCUGGUUAAAAAUUCCUAAACAAAAAAACAUAAAAUUUUUAUUGGUCAGGCUGGCCUGGUGGCGCAGCGGUUAAGUGCGCAUGUUCUGCUUCUCGGCGGCCCAGGGUUCGCCGGUUCAGAUCCUGGGUGCGGACAUGGCACCUGCUUGGCAAAAGCCAUGCUGUGAAAAAAAAAGAAAAAAAAAAAAAAGCCAUGCUGUGGUAGGCGUCCCACAUGUAAAGUAGAGGAAGAUGGGCAUGGAUGUUAGCUCAGGGCCAGUCUUCCUCAGCAAAAAGAGGAGGAUUGGCAGUAGUUAGCUCAGGGCUAAUCUUCCUCAAAAAAAAAAAAUUUUUUUUAUUGGCAAUAACAUUUUAACAAGAUGGAUAUGACUUGAACGGUCCCUUUCUUUGGCGCCAAUCAAGUAGCAACCACUAUUACCAGGUUCUUGUGUAUCUUUCUAGUGACACUGGAUGAAUAUAUAAAUGAAUAUUCCUAUGUACUUUUUCU